AUCCGAGAAGCAGUUUUAGCUUGGCUCCUCUGCAGUCUUGUUACAGGUAGUUAGGUAGGCGUGAGCAGGGCAGGAGACGGCUUCCCAUCCCACCCCAACUAGAAAUGUCGGUGACGGUUUGGCAUUGUCUCUCUAAAAAGUGUAAUUCCGCAACCAGGGAGAGACAAUCUCCUGAUGGUCCACACCUGUUAACAUUAAAAGUUGUUAACUGAAUACAGACUCCAGGGAGAAACAGCUUCCCGGGAAUGCACAUUAAAACACAAAAAAUGGCUAAGUAUGAUCUUCCGGUUCCAUGCCACCGGGGAAAAAGGAAGAAAUCCUCAGAUGGGCAUGCGUACAACUCCCUAAACACACUGCGCAUGCUCAGUUCCUAAGGGUAAAGAGGGCUCCGCGCAUGCAGGAAGACCACCCUAAGGGAAGAAUCAUGGGAAAGAGGCAGAAAAUUAAAACUGGAUUGCUACCUGGUGCUUCCAUACACUGAAAAGAAAGAACACUCCAAUCUGCCAGCCUUACGAUGUUGGGAAAACGCAUCAAACAGUGCUAAGGUUUUAAGCAUGGAGAAUAUAAUCCAGUUGUAAAGCUAUUAACCCAGAAAAGAUGUCACAUGAAAGUCUGUAAAUAUGAACCACACUCUACUGCCCAGUGAUGGAGAAACCUACUGACUGUGGUGCGCAGAUUCCUAAGACGCCCUCAUGGUAUCCAUGUCCGCAUCAUCUCCUCCCCCUUGAGAGUGGGCUGAACCUGUGACUGGCCUCUAACCAACAGGCUAUCGUGAAGCAAGCCUCCAUCAGUUCUGCAGCUACAAGAAAAUGAGUUCUGCCAACAACCAAGUGAGCACUGAAGAGGACCCUGAGCAUCAGAGGACAGCCUAGCCCUGGCCAAUGCCUUCAUUGCAGCACUGUGAGACCCGAACAAAAGAUCCAGCUAAUGCAUGUUCAGAAUUCUGAUUCCAGGAAACUGUGGAAUAAUAAAUGCUCC
rnacentral:lncRNA from 1 species